rnacentral:misc_RNA from 1 species
GAUGAAGAACGUAGUGAAAUGCGAUAAGUAAUGCGAAUUGCAGAAUUCAGUGAGUCAUCGAAUCUUUGAACGCACAUUGCGCCCUGUGGUAUUCCGCAGGGCAUGCCUGUUCGAGCGUCAUUUCAACCCUCAAGCUCUGCUUGGUGUUGGGCCACGCCCCCGCGGCCGGCCCCAAAGCUAGUGGCGGUGCCGUCUGGCUCUAAGCGUAGUACAUCUCUCGCUCUAGGGCCCGGCGGUUGCUUGCCAGAACCCACACUCUUAUGGUUGACCUCGGAUCAGGUAGGGAUACCCGCUGAACUUAAGCAUAUCAAUAAGCGGAGGA